rnacentral:tRNA from 1 species
AACAAUUUAAAAUUUAUUUAAUAAAUAUUGGAAAAUUUCUUUAAUUCUUG